GGGGAUGUAGCUCAACUGGUAGAGCACUAACUGCUAAGCCAAGCGUAGUAUGCAAAUCUAGGUUCAACUCCUCGCAUCUCCA
rnacentral:tRNA from 1 species